AGUGAACGCUGGCGGUAGGCCUAACACAUGCAAGUCGAACGACAGCACAGUAAGCGCUUGCUCUUACGGGUGGCGAGUGGCGGACGGGUGAGAAAUACAUCGGAUUCUACUUUUUCGUGGGUGAUAACGUUGGGCCACUUCCGCUACUACCUCAUACGUCCUACGGGUUAAAUCAUGAGUUCUUCGGGCUUUUCGCGUUUUAUUUAGCCGAUUUCGGAUUAGCUUGUUUGCGGGGUAACGGACCACCAAGGCAACGAUACGUAGCUGAUCUGAGAGGAUGAUCAGCCACACUGGAACUGAGACACGGUCCAGACUCCUACGGGAGGCAGCAGUAGGGAAUAUUGCACAAUGGGCGAAAGCCUGAUCGAGCCAAGCCGCGUGGGUGAAGAAGGCCUUCGGAUCGUAAAGCUCUGUUGUUGGGGAAGAAAAAAAGUAGGAGAAAACACGGAUGUUUUGACGGUACCCAAAGAAUAAGCACCGGCUAACUUCGUG
rnacentral:rRNA from 1 species